AGGGAGCCUGAAAGGGGAUAGAGAGAAGAGAAAACAACUUUGUCCUUCUAGAACACUUUUCAAUAGCGAAUGAAAGUGCUUUAUAAACAGGUUAGCAAGAUUCAGAACCCUGCUGAAAUAGGAAUUAUAUUCCCCUUCUACAGAUGGAGAAACUAAGACAGAAGUUAAGUGACGACAGGGUAGUGAUAGAGCUAAGAAUAUAAUCCAACUGACUCCCAAUCCCUGGCUCUAACCACUAGACACCAUCACCUCCAAUACCUGAAAAGACUUUAAAAGGACGUGGCUUCAAAUUUUAUGUAAAUAUAGGAACUGACUUCGUACAAUUUGUGAAGUACCCUCAGAAGGGGCACAGAUACUCAACACAAUUAACGUUAAGAGCAAGGGGGAAGGAAUGCAAACCAAAACAGGGAAAGAGCAGGUUAAAGAAUAUUUAGAGAAGAUGGAUGUAUUCAAGUCAGCAGGACCUGAUGAAAUAGCUCGCAGGAUACUUCAGAAACUAGCUAAAGCAAUCACUGAACUGUUAGCAAUUAUCUACAAGAACUCCUGGAUGACAGGUGAGGUCCCAGAGGACUGGAGAAGGGCACACACAGAACCUGUCUUUAAAAUGGGGAACAAAGAGCACACAAGGAAUUACAGACCAGCCAGCCCUACUUCAAUACCUGGAAAGAUAUUGGUACAAUUAUUAAACAAUCAAGUGGUAAGCAUCAGAGGAUAAUAGUGUUAUAAGGAAUAGCCAGCAUGGAUUUGUCAAGAACAAAUCAUGACAAACCAACCUCACCUCCUACUUUGACAGUGUUACUGGCCAAGUGGAAGGGUGGGGGAGCUAUCAACAUGAUGUAUCUUAUUUUAGUAAGGCUUUCAACGCAGUCCCACGUGACAUUCUCAUAAGCAAACUAGGGAAACAUAAUCUAGCUGAUAUUACUGUAAGGUGGGUGCACAACUGGGUGAAAGACCACAUGCAAAGAGUAGUUAUCAAUGGUUUACUGUCAAACUGGGGAGAGCAUAUCUAGUGGGGUACUGCAGGGGUUUGCCUUGGAUCUAGUACUACACAAUGUUUUCAUUAAUAACUUGGGUAAUAGAGUGUAGAGUAUGCUUAUAAAAUCUAUGGAUGACACCAAGCUAGGACAAGUGCAAAGUACUACACUUGGGAAGGAAAAAUCAAAUGUACAACUACAAAAUGGGGAAUAAAUAGCUAAGUGGUAGUACUACUGGAGAGGAUCUGGGAUUAUAGUGGAUCACAAACUGAAUAUGAAUCAAAAUGAUGCAGCUGCAAAAAGGGCUAAUGUUCUGGGGUGAAUCGUUUAGAAUGCUCCAAGGGGCUUUCGGUAGGGAUGAUGGGAUGAAGUUGAACAAAGGUAAAUUUAGGCUGGAUAUCAGGAAAUAUUUCAUAGCACUGAGGUCGCUCAGCCUGUGGAAUAGUCUCCCGUGGAUGAAACUCUCCCAUCUAUGCCAUUUAAAACUGGACUGCACAAAGCACACAAGAAUAUACUGUAAAGAACAAUUCUGCAGAGGCAGGUGGAGUGGAAGCAAAUGGUUAUGACCUCAAGGGUCCAAUUUCUAGGAUUUUAUUGCAUUUGUUGUAAACCAAGAGUAGAAUUCUCACAAGGAUGUAAGGGCCAGAUUUUCAAGGUAUUUAAGGUGCUAAAGAUGCAAACGGGCACCUACUGGGAUUUUCAGACAUUCCUAAGCCCUAUAGACAUCUAAUUCCCACUGAUUUCGAUAGGGCUCAGGUAUUUUUGUAAAUCACACUAUUGACCUAUUUGCAUCUUUAGGUGCCCAAAUAUCUUUGCAAAUCUGGCCCUAAGUGACUUAGGAACCUAAGUCCCAUUUUCAACAGUGACUUAAAGAGGGUUUUUUUCUAAAGCCAGGUCUACAGUAAAAAGUUAGGUCGACCCAGCAAUGUUGCUCAGGGGUGUGAAAACUCCACAUACCUGAGCAAUAUAGUUAAACCAACCUAACACCUGGUGUAGACAGCGUUAGGCCAAUACAGUAAUUCUCCCCUUGACCUAGCUAUUGCCUAUCAGGGAAGUGGAUUAACUACUGCAAUGAGAAUCCCCCUCCUAUCACUGUAGUGAGCAUCUACACUGAAGCACCACCACGGCACAGCUGUACCAUUUCUACUGAAUAUGUAGCCAAAGGUACAAAGGUCAGUUAGGCAUCUAACCCCCAUUGAAAAUCAAUGGGAAUGAGAUGCCUAACUCCCAUUCGGGUCUUUGAAACUCUUCCCCUUUAGCGCCUAAGUACCAUUGACUUUCAAUGAGACAAAGGCUUCUAUAUGCUUAAGUCAAUUUUGAAAGUGGGAUUUAAGCCCUUUUGAAAACUUCACCCCAAAUCAAGAUAAGCAGGAUAACAAAACCAGAUGACCAAGGGUGUAAGCUAUGUAAGUGAACGCUGACUACAAGAUUCAGUCAAGAUGGCAAAUACAGUUUAAUUCAUUACCUGAACUAAGGUCUCAAAUUGUUUGCACACUCUCUCUCUCACUUCACUAAGGUGUAAACAUGGUAAUUCUCACCAGAAGUUUAACAGCAGAGUUGCUGUAGUGAAGUCUCUUAUUGCUGAGCAACAUACUGCAGCACAUUUGGAAAAUACAGCAAAAGUCAAGAAAUAGACUUGUCCAAUCAAUGCACAAAAUACAUACUGUGAUGCAGCUUCUCCCCCACAAUAUUCACUAACCCACACCAUGUCACUAGCACACAUGUAUGUGCAAAUUCAAGGAGGAGCACGUAAAGAAAGCCUCUUACUUCUCAUGUUUCUGCGUACCAAUCCCCUUCCCGAAAUUCUCCUUGUAGAAACGCAUUGCAGAAACCAUGCAGCCUGGCACCCAAUAGAGCAUGACGUUAGUGAGAAGGUCAUCCAGAGAGUACUUCCUGAAAAGGUCAGCACAGAAAUGGCCUCAGGAGAGUUGAAUGUAGUUUAGUUUAUGGUAGAAUAAUCAUUUCAAAUCUUUAUGGCUGUUUACUUUGGUUAAAUUAUAAAAAUUAAAGCAAAAAUGGCUAACAAAAAAUAGUACUAGCGCACUAAUUCAGAAAGGACUUGACACAAUUUCUCACCCCAACCCUCCAUUCCUACAGCUCAGGUAUUUCAGAGCUACCCCAACUAUUUUAGCAUUGCCCAUUCCUGCAAGCCCAAACAUUUUAGGCUAGCAGGAAGGGGGAGUGCUGAGUAUUUAGCACUCAUAUAGACAUGUAAAGCCUAACACUUCAACAUCCUUACAAGGGAGACAGACUCCAAAAAAUAUCCCAGCUCCAAUAAUACUGUCAAAAGAGGCCACGAACUAGCACCACCUAUAUCGUCCCUUCAGUGAAGGGGGAGACCAGAAGAGCAUGUUGGGCAGCUUGUGUAAUUUAUUUUCAUAAACCUAAACACUAACAUACGUUUUCAAUAAAAGACUAAAUUAAAAAAACUACAGAAACUUGGCCAGUCUUUGCUAUGAAUAUAGGUUUCAUACCCCACAGUAAACCUGUCAGGGGAGACAUUAUAUUCAAAUAAUUUUCACUGGCCUUUUUCUAAUGUGCAGUCUGGCUCAGCUUCAGCCAGGUAGCUCAGCAAGUUUUAGGGCUUCUUUAGAGUCUCACACACAGAUUUCUACCCCAAGCCAAGACUGACCCAUUAGUAGCAAACUGUAAGUAUACAUUUUUAUGACAAUGGUUAUCUUAAAGUAAAUAAAUCUGUGAAGAGAUAAAGAUUUGCAUUAGAUUGAAUCAGAAAUGGUAUUUUGUGAGCAAAAAAUCUUUGGUGUUUGGUAUAAACCAGAUUCCUCCUCCCUCCACCUUCCCUGACAUUUUCUCUGCUGUUUUUUAAAUAUGAUAUUAGUUCUAGUGAGAGGUGCCAGAAUGACAACCGUAGAAACGAAAAGUCCUCUGCUUAUCCAUAAAACAGACACCACAUGGGCAGUGGCAGGGCAAGUUUCUUCCAUACACUGCCAGUGUACCUCUACCAUGGCCUGGAGGGAUCACAGAUAGGUGUGAGGGUGUAGAUGAGUCUUCAAGGCCCAUUCACUUUUGGCCUCUUUUCUAUGAUUGCCAACACAAGUGUAAUUUUGUUCUAUUGUGGCCACACAGUUUCCUUGCAGGAUGGCAGGUAAACCAAAUUACCGCAACAGAGCUUUGAGAGACUAAUGUGAUCUAAACAUAAGUCUGGGCUGAGUGACCUCCUCUAGAAUAGGGCAAGAGGCCGAUGGUGAGUCAGAGGAAGAGGUUGUUCCCACCUUUCUAGACCGCCAUCCUCUAGUUUCCGGAAUUCAAGAUCAGUCCACGUAGAAAACUUCUCCAAGAUGUAUGCAGCCAGCCCCACUGGAGAGUCAUUCAGGCCACAGCCUGAAAAGGAG